GUAGUUAAGUCUAAAAUUGUAUAUAUUGAAUCUUUCGUUAUAAAUUUCCAUCUACUGCAUGCAGGAUCGCCGGGAGAGAGGCAGAGUGGAACUUUAUCUCGGGCGGUGCUCGCAAAACAAGGGACCCUUAAAAUUUAUUGAUGCAAGAUUGAUGAACUCAGAAUAUAAAUCUCAGUACCCAGAUGAAUAAUACAUCUAAAAAUCUCAAAAAAUUAAGAAAAUUGUCGGCAAAAAAUAAACGAUUUUAUGUCCGCAAAAUUUUUUCCGGCACCAAAUGAACCAUUUAAUUUGUCCGGCGCCAUAUGUCGUGAAAAUUUUUUGAUCAAGAUUAUACGUAUAGUGUAAUUUACAGCAUGAGUUCCACAUUUAAAUUUUACUAUACGAGUAAAUUGUUAAACGCGUCCGAAUUUAUCAACAUGAUAAAUGCCAAAUUCGCGGCACCUAACCCUUAACCUUAAUUUUGUGUUACACAGCUUCGAUCAUGUUAUAUAUAUACCCAUUAUCAGUAACCUUGCCCGCUCAUUCAAGUACUACAGUAUGUAUAUCUAUACUGAAAAAAAAAAUCAAUCCAAAAAUAAAAAAAUAAAAAAUACAAAAAUCAAAAAAUAAAAAAAUAAAAAAAUACAAAAAUCAAAAAA